rnacentral:rRNA from 1 species
UGGGGGAAACCCUGAUGCAGCGACGCCGCGUGGAGGAAGAAGGUCUUCGGAUUGUAAACUCCUGUUGUUGGGGAAGAUAAUGACGGUACCCAACAAGGAAGUGACGGCUAACUACGUGCCGGCAGCCGCGGUAAAACGUAGGUCACAAGCGUUGUCCGGAAUUACUGGGUGUAAGGGGAGCGCAGGCGGGAAGACAAGUUGGAAGUGAAAUCUAUGGGCUCAACCCAUAAACUGCUUUCAAAACUGUUUUUCUUGAGUAGUGCAGAGGUAGGCGGAAUUCCCGGUGUAGCGGUGGAAUGCGUAGAUAUCGGGAGGAACACCAGUGGCGAAGGCGGCCUACUGGGCACCAACUGACGCUGAGGCUCGAAAGUGUGGGUAGCAAACAGGAUUAGAUACCCUGGUAGUCCGCACCGUAAACGAUGAUUACUAGGUGUUGGAGGAUUGACCCCUUCAGUGCCGCAGUUAACACAAUAAGUAAUCCACCUGGGGAGUACGACCGCAAGGUUGAAACUCAAAGGAAUUGACGGGGGCCCGCACAAGCAGUGGAGUAUGUGGUUUAAUUCGACGCAACGCGAAGAACCUUACCAAGUCUUGACAUCCCUUGACGAUGCUGGAAACAGUAUUUCUCCUCGGAGCAAGGAGACAGGUGGUGCAUGGUUGUCUCAACGUCGUGUCGU